AUAUUGCGCAAUGGAGGAAACUCUGACGCAGCGACGCCGCGUGAGCGAUGAAGGUUUUAGGAGCGGUAAGCUCUGUCCUUGGGGUAGGAGGUCUUCGGACUUGACUGUACCCAAGAAGAAAGCCCCGUCUAACUACGUGCCAGCAGCCGCGGUAAUACGUAGGGGGCAAGCGUUGUCCGGAAUUAUUGGGCGUAAAGGGGGCGUAGGCGGCCUUGUAAGUCGGAUGUGAAAGCCCACGGCUUAACCGUGGGAUUGCAUUUGAAACUGGAAGACUUGAGUAUCGGAGAGGGUAGUGGAAUUCCCAGUGUAGCGGUGAAAUGCGUAGAUAUUGGGAGGAACACCAGUGGCGAAGGCGACUACCUGGACGAAAACUGACGCUGAGGCACGAAAGCUAGGGGAGCAAACA
rnacentral:rRNA from 1 species